rnacentral:rRNA from 1 species
GAUGAACGCUGGCGGCGUGCCUAAUACAUGCAAGUCGAGCGAACGGACGAGAAUCUUGCUUCUCUGAUGUUAGCGGCGGACGGGUGAGUAACACGUGGAUAACCUACCUAUAAGACUGGGAUAACUUCGGGAAACCGGAGCUAAUACCGGAUGAUAUUUUGAACCGCAUGGUUCAAAAGUGAAUGACGGUCUUGCUGUCACUUAUAGAUGGAUCCGCGCUGCAUUAGCUAGUUGGUAAGGUAACGGCUUACCAAGGCAACGAUGCAUAGCCGACCUGAGAGGGUGAUCGGCCACACUGGAAGUGAGACACGGUCCAGACACCUACGGGAGGCAGCAGUAGGGAAUCGUCCGCGAUGGGCGAAAGCCUGACGGAGCAGCGCCGCGUGAGUGAUGAAGGGCUUCGGAUCGUAAAACGCUGUUAUUAGGGAAGAACAUAUGUGUAAGUAACUGUGCACAUCUUGACGGUACCUAAUCAGAAAGCCACGGCUAACUACGUG